GACGAACGCUGGCGGCGUGCUUAACACAUGCAAGUCGAACGGAAAGGCCUGCUUUCCCUUGUGGAUUGCGGGUACUCGAGUGGCGAACGGGUGAGUAACACGUGAGUGAUCUGCCCCCAACUUGGGUAUAAGCCUGGGAAACUGGGUCUAAUUCCCGAUAGGACUGCAGGGUGGUGCCUGUGGUGGAAAACGAUUUUCUAGUGGUUGGGGAUGAGCCCGCGGCCUAUCAGCUUGUUGGUGGGGUAAUGGCCUACCAAGGCGGCGACGGGUAGCCGGCCUGAGAGGGUGGACGGCCACAUUGGGACUGAGAUACGGCCCAGACUCCUACGGGAGGCAGCAGUGGGGAAUAUUGCACAAUGGGCGGAAGCCUGAUGCAGCGACGCCGCGUGGGGGAUGACGGCCUUCGGGUUGUAAACUCCUUUCGACCGCGAGGAAGCCACCUGGUUGGGAGGGUGGUGACGGUAGUGGUAGAAGAAGCACCGGCUAACUACGUG
rnacentral:rRNA from 1 species